rnacentral:rRNA from 1 species
GCGGCGAGCGGCGGACGGGUGAGUAAUGCCUGGGAAUAUGCCCUGAUGUGGGGGAUAACUAUUGGAAACGAUAGCUAAUACCGCAUAAUCUCUUCGGAGCAAAGAGGGGGACCUUCGGGCCUCUCGCGUCAGGAUUAGCCCAGGUGGGAUUAGCUUGUUGGUGAGGUAAUGGCUCACCAAGGCAACGAUCCCUAGCUGGUCUGAGAGGAUGAUCAGCCACACUGGAACUGAGACACGGUCCAGACUCCUACGGGAGGCAGCAGUGGGGAAUAUUGCACAAUGGGGGAAACCCUGAUGCAGCCAUGCCGCGUGUGUGAAGAAGGCCUUCGGGUUGUAAAGCACUUUCAGUAGGGAGGAAGGUAGUGUAGUUAACACCUGCAUUAUUUGACGUUACCUACAGAAGAAGCACCGGCUAACUCCGUGCCAGCAGCCGCGGUAAUACGGAGGGUGCGAGCGUUAAUCGGAAUUACUGGGCGUAAAGCGCAUGCAGGCGGCCUGUUAAGUCAGAUGUGAAAGCCCGGGGCUUAACCUCGGAAUUGCAUUUGAAACUGGCAGACUAGAGUCUUGUAGAGGGGGGUAGAAUUUCAGGUGUAGCGGUGAAAUGCGUAGAGAUCUGAAGGAAUACCAGUGGCGAAGGCGGCCCCCUGGACAAAGACUGACGCUCAGAUGCGAAAGCGUGGGGAGCAAACAGGAUUAGA